rnacentral:lncRNA from 1 species
AGCGCCCGAUAGUGAUACUGGCAAUUUGUUGCAGCUAACGCGACUAAAAAGUUCGUCCGCUGUCGGCGAGCAUUACGACAAGAGCGUGAACUAUGAGUGCAGCGGGUGUGACCUGACCGACAUUAUGUGCAACGGAGAGAGCACGCUGCCGGCUGGCCGGGUGUCGCACGUGCCCAGCCUCGGGAUGAUCAGCUUCAACUUCCCGAAUUUUGAAGAUGCAAACAGUUGCGUCUAUAUAGGCGUGUUCAAUACGUCAGACAAAGUGUACAGGAAGGUGAUCGCUGUCAUUGACA